rnacentral:rRNA from 1 species
GGGUUGUGAGGUUAAGCGACCAAGCGUACACGGUGGAUGCCCUGGCAGUCAGAGGCGAUGAAGGGCGUGCUAAUCUGCGAUAAGCGCCGGUAAGGUGAUAUGAACCGCUAUAACCGGCGAUACCCGAAUGGGGAAACCCAGUGUGACUCGUCACACUAUCAUGCAGUGAAUCCAUAGCGGCAUGAGGCGAACCGGGGGAACUGAAACAUCUAAGUACCCCGAGGAAAAGAAAUCAACCGAGAUUCCCCCAGUAGCGGCGAGCGAACGGGGAGGAGCCCAGAACCUGCAUCAGCUUGUGCAUCAGUGGAAGCGUCUGGAAAGUCGCAGGGUACAGGGUGAUACUCCCGUACACAAAGGUGCACAGGUUGUGAGUUCGAUGAGUAAGGCGGGACACGUGGUAUCCUGUCUGAAUAUGGGGGGACCAUCCUCCAAGGCUAAAUACUCCUGACUGACCGAUAGUGAACCAGUACCGUGAGGGAAAGGCGAAAAGAACCCCGGCGAGGGGAGUGAAACAGAACCUGAAACCGUGUACGUACAAGCAGUGGGAGCACCUUCGUGGUGUGACUGCGUACCUUUUGUAUAAUGGGUCAGCGACUUAUAUUCUGUAGCAAGGUUAACCGUAUAGGGGAGCCGCAGGGAAACCGAGUCUUAACUGGGCGUUAAGUUGCAGGGUAUAGACCCGAAACCCGGUGAUCUAGCCAUGGGCAGGUUGAAGGUUGGGUAACACUAACUGGAGGACCGAACCGACUAAUGUUGAAAAAUUAGCGGAUGACCUGUGGCUGGGGGUGAAAGGCCAAUCAAACCGGGAGAUAGCUGGUUCUCCCCGAAAGCUAUUUAGGUAGCGCCUCGUGAAUUCAUCUCCGGGGGUAGAGCACUGUUUCGGCUAGGGGGCCAUCCCGGCUUACCAACCCGAUGCAAACUGCGAAUACCGGAGAAUGUUAUCACGGGAGACACACGGCGGGUGCUAACGUCCGUCGUGAAGAGGGAAACAACCCAGACCGCCAGCUAAGGUCCCAAAGUCAUGGUUAAGUGGGAAACGAUGUGGGAAGGCACAGACAGCCAGGAUGUUGGCUUAGAAGCAGCCAUCAUUUAAAGAAAGCGUAAUAGCUCACUGGUCGAGUCGGCCUGCGCGGAAGAUGUAACGGGGCUAAACCAUGCACCGAAGCUGCGGCAGCGACGCGUAAGCGUUGCUGGGUAGGGGAGCGUUCUGUAAGCCGUUGAAGGUGUGCUGUGAGGCAUGCUGGAGGUAUCAGAAGUGCGAAUGCUGACAUAAGUAACGAUAAACAAGGUGAAAAACCUUGUCGCCGGAAGACCAAGGGUUCCUGUUCAACGUUAAUCGGAGCAGGGUGAGUCGACCCCUAAGGCGAGGCCGAAAGGCGUAGUCGAUGGGAAACAGGUUAAUAUUCCUGUACUUGGUGUUACUGCGAAGGGGGGACGGAGAAGGCUAUAUCGGCCGGGCGACGGUUGUCCCGGUUUAAGCGUGUAGGUGUGUGUGCCAGGCAAAUCCGGUGCACUUUACACUGAGGCGUGACGACGAGGCACUACGGUGCUGAAGUGAUAAAUGCCCUGCUUCCAGGAAAAGCCUCUAAGCAUCAGGUAACACGAAAUCGUACCCCAAACCGACACAGGUGGUCAGGUAGAGAAUACCCAGGCGCUUGAGAGAACUCGGGUGAAGGAACUAGGCAAAAUGGUGCCGUAACUUCGGGAGAAGGCACGCUGGCGCGUAGGUGAGGGGACUUGCUCCCGGAGCCGAGGCCAGUCGAAGAUACCAGCUGGCUGCAACUGUUUAUUAAAAACACAGCACUGUGCAAACACGAAAGUGGACGUAUACGGUGUGACGCCUGCCCGGUGCCGGAAGGUUAAUUGAUGGGGUUAUCCGUAAGGAGAAGCUCUUGAUCGAAGCCCCGGUAAACGGCGGCCGUAACUAUAACGGUCCUAAGGUAGCGAAAUUCCUUGUCGGGUAAGUUCCGACCUGCACGAAUGGCGUAAUGAUGGCCAGGCUGUCUCCACCCGAGACUCAGUGAAAUUGAAAUCGCUGUGAAGAUGCAGUGUACCCGCGGCAAGACGG